rnacentral:rRNA from 1 species
AUUGAACGCUGGCGGCAGGCCUAACACAUGCAAGUCGAGCGGCAGCGGGAAAGUAGCUUGCUACUUUUGCCGGCGAGCGGCGGACGGGUGAGUAAUGCCUGGGAAAUUGCCCAGUCGAGGGGGAUAACAGUUGGAAACGACUGCUAAUACCGCAUACGCCCUACGGGGGAAAGCAGGGGACCUUCGGGCCUUGAGCGACUGGAUAUGCUCAGGUGGGAUUUGCUAGUUGGUGGGGUAAUGGCUCACCAAGGCGACGAUCCCUAGCUGGUCUGAGAGGAUGAUCAGCCACACUGGAACUGAGACACGGUCCAGACUCCUACGGGAGGCAGCAGUGGGGAAUAUUGCACAAUGGGGGAAACCCUGAUGCAGCCAUGCCGCGUGUGUGAAGAAGGCCUUCGGGUUGUAAAGCACUUUCAGCGAGGAGGAAAGGUCAGUAGCUAAUAUCUGCUGACUGUGACGUUACUCGCAGAAGAAGCACCGGCUAACUCCGUGCCAGCCGCCGCAGUAAGAC